rnacentral:rRNA from 1 species
GAUGAACGCUGGCGGCGUGCCUAAUACAUGCCAGUCGAGCGAACGGACGAGAAGCUUGCUUCUCUGAUGUUAGCGGCGGACGGGUGAGUAACACGUGGAUAACCUACCUAUAAGACUGGGAUAACUUCGGGAAACCGGAGCUAAUACCGGAUAAUAUUUUGAACCGCAUGGUUCAAAAGUGAAAGACGGUCUUGCUGUCACUUAUAGAUGGAUCCGCGCUGCAUUAGCUAGUUGGUAAGGUAACGGCUUACCAAGGCAACGAUGCAUAGCCGACCUGAGAGGGUGAUCGGCCACACUGGAACUGAGACACGGUCCAGACUCCUACGGGAGGCAGCAGUAGGGAAUCUUCCGCAAUGGGCGAAAGCAUGACGGAGCAACGCCGCGUGAGUGAUGAAGGUCUUCGGAUCGUAAAACUCUGUUAUUAGGGAAGAACAUAUGUGUAAGUAACUGUGCACAUCUUGACGGUACCUAAUCAGAAAGCCACGGCUAACUACGUG